rnacentral:lncRNA from 1 species
AUUCCCAGCGGGAAUGCCGCGGGAUACGGGGGAGGAGAGGCUGGAGGCGCCGGGAGGGGAUGAAUUGGGUGGGCAGAGGGUUUGGGGUGCCGGGAGGUGACAGACGGACAGACGGACACGCCGGGAGGUGACAGCAGCCCCGGCAUGGCAGCAAAGCGGAUCCCGCAGCUCCUGGAGCCAGGGCGGCCCUCGGGCAGGAUGUUCCCCUCGCCGGGCUGCAGGAGAGGCUUCCCCAGGGAGCCCGCCCCGUGGUGGGAUGGACCAUGGCCGUGUCCUCCUGUUGGCCCCGAGGACGGCUGGGACGAGCCACCCUGGGACGAGCCACCCUGGGAUGGGCCACCCUGGGACGGGCCACCCUGGGAUGAGCCACCCUGGAAUGAGCCACCCUGGAAUGAGCCACCCCAGGAGCAGCACAGGAGCCGCCGGCACAGGAGGCGCCCGCCCAGCCCCAGAGCCCCCAGACCCUGCCCUGGCCCCGGUGACAUCCCGUGGAAGGAGGAGGAGGGGGACAGGAGGUGGGCACCCCACGACUGUCCCCUGCCACCCCCUUGGGAUGACAGAGAAGCCGUCCCACCACCUGAGGACAGCUUUGGAGAAAUCUGGUACCAGGAUGUUCUGCCGGACCCCUGGCCCGAAUUCCCGGAGGAGCAGCAGCCCCCACCCGGACCCCCCUCCACCCAUCCAGGGAAUCCAGGCACAUUCCGGGAGCACCGCCCGCCCUGGAGCCGUCGUCCAGCCGGGAGGCGACAGAGCCACCCCCGGCAUCUGGUGCUGGUACCCCGGGCGUGGUGUCCCCGGCCACCCCGAGGGCACAAACCUCGCUCCAAGCCCUCCUCCCCUGCCCGCUUCAAGCGCAGCCAGGCCAGGAAGGAGCCGCAUCCCCCGGAGCAUCCCCGGGAUGUUGGGGAAAAGCCGGGACAGCCGCAGGAUGUGCCAGCGGCGGCUGGGAAUGCCCCGGAGCCCCCCAGUCCUGCCAGGAGCCCUCGGGAGAGCCCCACUGCCGAUCCCGGUGCUGCAGAGCCGCCGGUGGAGCUGGAAGCUGGGCAGACCCCUGUGGGCAGCCAGGAUCAGGAUCCCUGUGCUGCAGGAGCAGAUCCAGCCCCUCCAGAGGAGACCUCCAGCUCUCCUGGGAUCCAGGAGCACCUCCAGGUAGAGCCGUGCAGCCCUGGUGUCCCCAAGGCUGGCAGCAGUGACAGGUCACAUCCCCAGAGCCCAGCAGCCCCUGCAACCCCUGCCAAGGGGGAUCUGCUGGAGCCCAUCUCCUCUGGAGGGGCCGGGGCCGAGCUCAGCCCACGUUCCCGGGAGCAGCCACCGCCUGGAGCUGGGGAAACUGAGGCACAGGGUGCCCAGGAUGGGCCCCCAUGGAGCCUUCAGCCACCCGCAGAGCCUCCUCUUCCUCCUGGAUCUGCAGCAGAGCCCGAGGCUCAGCCCAGCCGGGCUUCUCCCGGAGCUCACACCACCCCAGAGACCUCCCCGGGGCCUGGGGCCGGUGAGACAAACCCGGCUGUGUCUGGCCAGCAGCAGCUCUGCUCCCUGCUCCCCACACCGCUCCCGGCCGGCAUCGAUCCCCGCUCCGCCGCCAUCCUCAGGAGGAAGGCAAAGAUCGAGCUGUCGUACCAGCAGUUCAGCCUGAGCAUCGCCGUGGUGGCCACGAUGCUGCUGCAGAAGGAGCCCUCGAUGGAGGCGGCGCUGGGGCUGGCGCUCAGGGCCAACCUCCGCCAGUGCCGCAUGCACCACCUGCAGCAGCUGCAGGAUUUCAUCGACAGCCUCGACUCGGACCCCGCCGGCCUCUGAGGGCAGCCCCCCACUCCUGACAGCGCUCUGGGGGGCUCAGGAGGGUGCUGAGCCUGCGGGACGAGCUGGGAGAUGUUGGCAGCCCCACUGUGUCUCUUGGAGAAGGAGGGUGAGCAGGAUAUGUUUGGGUUUAGCCCUGCCCAAACCCCUGAGGGCAGCAAAAGUGUUACUGGUUUUACUGGAGGGAGGGCAGCAGUCCCUCUGCUCUGUUGCUGAUUGCCAGGAAUGUGUUCCCAAACCCCAGCGAGUGUUUCUGUGUUUAAAUGUUCAA